GGGCGCAUGGUUCAAUGGUAGAGCGUUCCCGAACGGGAAAGAAAGGGGUUCGAUUCCCUGGCGUCCA
rnacentral:tRNA from 1 species